rfam:Gossypium raimondii Chr01_contig_48, whole genome shotgun sequence.
AAUAGGAUGAUGAAAAAUUAAAUUUUUUCUCCUAAUUUUUAGCUUUUUCCUCUUAAAAGAAUUCAAAUCUAACUAAAAAUACUAAAAAUCAGGAGGAAAAAUCUAAUUUAUUAUUUUUCUAUU